UGCCCAGCAACUCCUAUCCCUACUGGUACUGGCCGGGCUACGAGUAACCUUGGGGAAGAUCGGGUAAUCAACUCCGGUUGGAACUUUUGUCGUAUACUGAUAGGGAAGG
rnacentral:ribozyme from 1 species